rnacentral:rRNA from 1 species
CAAGAGCGUAUAUUAAAGUUGCUGCGGUUAAAAAGCCCGUAGUUGGAUUUCAGUCUAGGAAGGUUAACUCGCCGAAAGGUUGUACGUUGAUUUUCCUCAGACUUCGUCAGAAGCUCGUGCUGCACUUAACUGUGUGGUACGAUGUUCUGACCUUUUACCUUGAGGAAAGUAGAGUGUUUCAGGCAGGCUACCCAGCUUGAAUACAUUAGCAUGGAAUAAUGAAAUGGAUCUCGGUUCGAUUUCGUUGGUUCUAGAGCUGAGGUGAUGAUCAAUAGGAACAGGCGAAGGUAUUCGUACUUGAGAGUGAGGAGUGAAAUCCGAUGAUCUCUUAAAGACGAUCCGAGGCGAAAGCAUUUGUCAAGGAUGUUUUCAUUGA